CACGUAGGGCGCAAGCGUUGUCCGGAAUUAUUGGGCGUAAAGAGCUCGUAGGCGGUCUGUUGCGUCUGCUGUGAAAACUCGGGGCUUAACCCCGAGCCUGCAGUGGAUACGGGCAGACUAGAGGUAGGUAGGGGAGAAUGGAAUUCCCGGUGUAGCGGUGAAAUGCGCAGAUAUCAGGAGGAACACCGGUGGCGAAGGCGGCUCACUGGCCCGGUACUGACGCUGAGGUGCGAAAGCGUGGGGAGCAAACAGG
rnacentral:rRNA from 1 species